rnacentral:rRNA from 1 species
AGGCCUACGGGAGGCAGCAGUCGGGAAUAUUGCGCAAUGGAGGAAACUCUGACGCAGUGACGCCGCGUAUAGGAAGAAGGUUUUCGGAUUGUAAACUAUUGUCGUUAGGGAAGAUAAAAGACUGUACCUAAGGAGGAAGCCCCGGCUAACUAUGUGCCAGCAGCCGCGGUAAUACGUAGGGGGCAAGCGUUAUCCGGAUUCACUGGGUGUAAAGGGAGCGUAGACGGCGACGCAAGUCUGGAGUGAAAGCCCUGGGCCCAACCCCGGGACUGCUCUGGAAACUGCGUCGCUGGAGUACGGGAGGG